rnacentral:rRNA from 1 species
UACGUAGGGUGCGAGCGUUUGUCCGGAAUUACUGGGCGUAAAGAGCUCGUAGGUGGUUUUGUCGCGUUGUCCGUGAAAACUCACAACUCAAUUGUGGGCGUGCGGGCGAUACGGGCAGACUGGAGUACUGCAGGGGAGACUGGAAUUCCUGGUGUAGCGGUGAAAUGCGCAGAUAUCAGGAGAACACCGGUGGCGAAGGCGGGUCUCUGGGCCGAU